rnacentral:tmRNA from 1 species
GGGGAUGAUUGGCUUCGACAGGGAGAUCGAUGCAUAUACAUGCAUGGCGGAAGCGAACACCUUCCUAAAAAUGUUCAAACUCUAAGUGCAAACAAAACUGCACGGGGGGUCCGCUCACCGAUUCAGGUGGCAGACCUCGGCCUCGUCUUCGCUUAAACGCGACCGGCGACCGCUCGUCUGGUUGGUAUCCGAUACACCAGUCGCGAGCGUCAUAACCAUCGGGUCCGGUUCCUAGUCCACUCCGGCUCGGAAUCUAAAGAAAGAGAGUCCGGCGACGUUCGAUCUCGUGCAUUCUUAACGAACGCUGCUCAAAACAAUCGAGUGCUCUACGCCAUGUAGAUGUGUAUAUGUGUUUCUUCCUACACGAGGGUUCGAUUCCCUCCAUCUCCACAU